rnacentral:rRNA from 1 species
GACGAACGCUGGCGGCGUGCCUAAUACAUGCAAGUCGAGCGGAUGGAAGGAAGCUUGCUUCCUAAAGUCAGCGGCGGACGGGUGAGUAACACGUGGGCAACCUGCCCCUAAGAUCGGGAUAACUUCGGGACACCGGAGCUAAUACCGGAUAUGAUUAUGUCUCACAUGCGGCGUAAUGGAACGACGGUUUCGGCUGUCACUUAGGGAUGGGCCCGCGGCGCAUUAGCUAGUUGGUGAGGUAACGGCGCACCAAGGCGACGAUGCGUAGCCGACCUGAGAGGGUGAUCGGCCACACUGGGACUGAGACACGGCCCAGACUCCUACGGGAGGCAGCAGUAGGGAAUCUUCCGCAAUGGACGAAAGUCUGACGGAGCAACGCCGCGUGAGUGAUGAAGGUUUUCGGAUCGUAAAACUCUGUUGUUAGGGAAGAACAAGUACCAUAGUCACUGAUGGUACCUUGACGGUACCUAACCAGAAAGCCACGGCUAACUACGUGCCAGCCGCCGCCGUAACAC